AGUAAUGCUUCGGAAUCUGCCCUUUAGUGGGGAAUAACCAGCCGAAAGGUUGGCUAAUACCGCAUACGCCCUUCUUUUAACUAAGAGGGGGAAAGCAGGGGAUCGCAAGACCUUGCGCUGUUGGAUGAGCCGAAGUCGGAUUAGCUAGUUGGUAGGGUAACGGCCUACCAAGGCGACAAUCCGUAGCUGGUCUGAGAGGACGACCAGCCACACUGGGACUGAGACACGGCCCAG
rnacentral:rRNA from 1 species